UACAGAGGGUGCGAGCGUUGUCCGGAAUCACUGGGCGUAAAGAGCGUGUAGGCGGCCAGGUAGGUCCGCUGUGAAAACUCGAGGCUCAACCUCGAGAUGUCGGCGGAAACCAUCUGGCUAGAGUCCGGAAGAGGAGAGUGGAAUUCCUGGUGUAGCGGUGAAAUGCGCAGAUAUCAGGAAGAACACCCGUGGCGAAGGCGGCUCUCUGGGACGGUACUGACGCUGAGACGCGAAAGCGUGGGGAGCGAACAGG
rnacentral:rRNA from 1 species